CGCCCUCGGUGACCUAGUGUCCCCUCACCCGGCGAACCAAGUUGCCCAAUAACCCACGGACAACCACACCAAGUCGCCUAACCCGAGGGACAAAACUAGCCUACCCCCCGCCCUCGGUGACCUAGUGUCGCCUCACCCGGCGAACCAAGUUGCCCAAUAACCCACGUACAACCACACCAAGUGGCCUAACCCGAGGGACAAACUAGCCUACCCCCCCGCCUCGGUGACCUAGUGUUGCCUCUCCCGACGAACCAAGUCGCCCAAUAACCCACGGAUAACCGCACCAAGUCGCCUAAACCGAGGGACAAACUAGCCUACCCCCCGCCCUCGGUGACCUAGUGUCGCCUCACCUGGCAAACAAGUCACCCAAAGACCACCACACCAAGUCGCCUAACCCGAGGGACAAAACUAGCCUACCCUCCGCCCUUGGUGACCUAGUGUCGCCUCACCCGGCGAACCAAGUUGCCCAAUAACCCACGAAUCACGCCGCCAAAAUUCAAACCACUUUAUUUUUUACUUCUUUUAGAAUGUUUUAUGUGUGGUCAUGCAUAAGGUGAUCAUUUAAGUAAGUGAAAAAUCUGUUUUUUCGCAACACAUUUUUGUCCUCCUGUUUUCCUUACUAAAUAGCAAUAUCAACAACAACAGCGAAGUGAAUGAGCCUGCUUGCUCAAGUACCAGCAAGUGAGUGCGGUAAAUAUACUACUUGUCGACGCGUGAUGAUCAGUGGUUUUUACUGUACUAUGAGCAGCGGCCAGCCUCUUCUUUCUCGCUCCUCUCUCGCUCGGGAAGAAGGCAAGGUGUGUGUGAACAAAGAGAGAGAUCUGGCAGAGGGGAGGAGCCUCUGGAUGCAACUCGUACUUUUUUGGGUGCAAAAUCACUAAAACAAAGCAAAGUCAGUGAGCUGUUUUUUACAUGGUUGCAGGACUUUUUUCUACUACUAGUUUCCAGGUUCUAUUUGCCUGGCUACUUGUGUGUUUUUAAACAAGGUGCAAAGACAAAGAUGCAAAUUCAAGAGUCAGCAGCUUCUAUCCAACAUCCAAUUCUACAGGGGUAGGGAGAUGCAAGAACAGGGGGACAAGAUCCAAGUGACGUUUCUGCAAACGUUUUUUGGUACAGGGGGCAAUUCUGCCACUAGAAGAUCAAGGGGGGGGGGGGGGGGGGGGAAAAGAGAGGGAAAUCCAGUAGUUCUAGAACUAAAAGAAGUUAAUGGCCAGAAUUUUUUGGAACAGCACUUUUACCUUCGUGUUUCCACUGGGAGAAACUUGCCCAGAUCUGCCAAUAUUUUUGCCCACAAUUCUCCAGAUUUAUUGCCUGUUCAGCAUGAAGAAUUGCAGACACAAUUGUGUUUUUAGAUUUA